CUCAAACCCACACACGUGUCGACACGAUGGCCUGGGUGCCCGGUUUCCCUGGAAACACGGGUUGGUCAUUGGGAUACGUGGAGGCCCAAC
rnacentral:sRNA from 1 species